rnacentral:rRNA from 1 species
CCUACGGGGGGCUGCAGUGGGGAAUAUUGGACAAUGGGGGCAACCCUGAUCCAGCCAUGCCGCGUGUGUGAAGAAGGCCCUCGGGUUGUAAAGCACUUUCAGUGAGGAAGAACGCCUGGUGGUUAAUACCCAUCAGGAAAGACAUCACUCACAGAAGAAGCACCGGCUAACUCCGUGCCAGCAGCCGCGGUAAUACGGAGGGUGCGAGCGUUAAUCGGAAUUACUGGGCGUAAAGCGCGCGUAGGUGGCUUGAUAAGCCGGUUGUGAAAGCCCCGGGCUCAACCUGGGAACGGCAUCCGGAACUGUCAAGCUAGAGUGCAGGAGAGGAAGGUAGAAUUCCCGGUGUAGCGGUGAAAUGCGUAGAGAUCGGGAGGAAUACCAGUGGCGAAGGCGGCCUUCUGGACUGACACUGACACUGAGGUGCGAAAGCGUGGGUAGCAAACAGGAUUAGAUACCCUAGUAGUA